rnacentral:rRNA from 1 species
AACGAACGCUGGCGGCAUGCCUAACACAUGCAAGUCGAACGAGACCUUCGGGUCUAGUGGCGCACGGGUGCGUAACGCGUGGGAACCUGCCCUUAGGUUCGGAAUAACUCCCCGAAAGGUAUGCUAAUACCGGUUAAUGUCUUCGGACCAAAGAUUUAUCGCUUUUGGAUGGGCCCGCGUUGGAUUCGCUAGUUGGUAGGGUAAAAGCCUGCCAAGGCGACGAUCCAUAGCUGGUCUGAGAGGAUGAUCAUGCACACUGGGACUGAGACACGGACCAGACUGCUACGGGAGGCAGCAGUAGGGAAUAUUGGACGAUGGGCGAAAGCCUGGUACAGCAAUGCCGCGUGAGUGAGGAAGGCCUUAGGGUUGUAAAGCUCUUUUACCCGGGAUGAUAAUGACAGUACCGGGAGAAGAAGCUCCGGCUAACUCCGUG